UGCAAUAGAUUGGGGGAUCUUUUAGUGUUGACUAUGUCGUCUUAUUUUUUAUUACGUUGUUCUAGCCAAAAUUUAAACAACGUAACACUGCACU
rnacentral:antisense_RNA from 1 species